GACGAACGCUGGCGGCGUGCCUAACACAUGCAAGUCGAGCGAUGAAGUUUCCUUCGGGAAAUGGAUUAGCGGCGGACGGGUGAGUAACACGUGGGUAACCUGCCUCAUAGAGGGGAAUAGCCUCCCGAAAGAGAGAUUAAUACCGCAUAAUAUUACAGUUUCGCAUGAAACAGUAAUUAAAGGAGCAAUCCGCUACGAGAUGGACCCGCGGCGCAUUAGCUAGUUGGUGAGGUAACGGCUCACCAAGGCGACGAUGCGUAGCCGACCUGAGAGGGUGAUCGGCCACAUUGGGACUGAGACACGGCCCAGACUCCUACGGGAGGCAGCAGUGGGGAAUAUUGCACAAUGGGGGAAACCCUGAUGCAGCAACGCCGCGUGAGUGAUGACGGUCUUCGGAUUGUAAAGCUCUGUCUUUGGGGACAAUAAUGACGGUACCCAAGGAGGAAGCCACGGCUAACUACGUGCCAGCAGCCGCCGUAAAAC
rnacentral:rRNA from 1 species